GGGCAGGUAGCGCAGUGGACAGCGCGCUCCUGGGCGUUAUCAGUGUUAGUUUAAAGUGUGUAUACAGCGUUCAGCGAGAGGCCUGGGUUUGAAUCCCAGACCGCCCA